rnacentral:tRNA from 1 species
GGCCGGAAUCGGCCAAGAAAUAUGAGCAAUUUAUAUAGUUUAAAUAAAACAUUACAUUUUCAUUGUAAAAUUAAAUAAUUUUUAUAA